AGGGGAUGAGUGAUCUACGUACCCUUGUAGAUCGUACAGCAGAAGCGUUAGAGAACGCGGUUGAUGUAGUGGAACGUCCUCACGUCCCUCGAUCCGCCCCGCGAACAAUCCCGCAAUCAGUCCCACGAUCUAGCACCGAACGGACGGCACCUCCGCGUUCAGCACACGUACAGCUCGACGAUGAUCUCGGCCUUCUUGAUCCAGCAAGAGAGACGGAGAGGUAGAAGAGUUCUCCGGCAGCGUGACGGCGCUCCGGAGGUUGGUGAUGAUCUUGUCUCAGCAGGGCUCCGCCCGAGCUCCGCAGAAACGCGAUCUAGAGGAAAAACUAUGGACGUAUGUGGUCGGGCAGCCGUGAGAAAGUCGUCUCAAAUCAGCCCUAAUUGCUCCAUAUAUAUAGGAGGAGGGAGGGGGACCUUGCCUUGGAGUCCAAGGGACCCUCAAGGGGUCGGCCGAGCCAAGGGGGGGNNNNNNNNNNNNNNNNNNNNNNNNNNNNNNNNNNNNNNNNNNNNNNNNNNNNNNNNNNNNNNNNNNNNNNNNNNNNNNNNNNNNNNNNNNNNNNNNNNNNNNNNNNNNNNNNNNNNNNNNNNNNNNNNNNNNNNNNNNNNNNNNNNNNNNNNNNNNNNNNNNNNNNNNNNNNNNNNNNNNNNNNNNNNNNNNNNNNNNNNNNNNNNNNNNNNUUUUUUUUCUUUUCCUUUGAUUUCCUUUUCUUGGCGCAUAGGCCCCCUUGGGGCUGUCCCACCAGCCCACUAAGGGCUGGUGUGUCUCCCCAAAGCCUAUGGGCUUCCCCGGGGGGGGUUGCCCCCCCCCCCCCGGUGAACUCCCGGAACCCAUUCGUCAUUCCCGGUAACUCCGAAAACCUUCCGGUAAUCAAAUGAGGUCAUCCUAUAUAUCAAUCUUCGUUUCCGGACCAUUCCGGAAACCCUCGUGACGUCCGUGAUCUCAUCCGGGACUCCGAACAACAUUCGGUAACCAACCAUAUAACUCAAAUACGCAUAAAACAACGUCGAACCUUAAGUGUGCAGACCCUGCGGGUUCGAGAACUAUGUAGACAUGACCCGAGAGACUCCUCGGUCAAUAUCCAAUAGCGGGACCUGGAUGCCCAUAUUGGAUCCUACAUAUUCUACGAAGAUCUUAUCGUUUGAACCUCAGUGCCAAGGAUUCGUAUAAUCCCGUAUGUCAUUCCCUUUGUCCUUCGGUAUGUUACUUGCCCGAGAUUCGAUCGUCAGUAUCCGCAUACCUAUUUCAAUCUCGUUUUACCGGCAAGUCUCUUUACUCGUUCCGUAAUACAAGAUCCCGCAACUUACACUAAGUUACAUUGCUUGCAAGGCUUGUGUGUGAUGUUGUAUUACCGAGUGGGCCCUGAGAUACCUCUCCGUCACACGGAGUGACAAAUCCCAGUCUUGAUCCAUACUAACUCAACUAACACCUUCGGAGAUACCUGUAGAGCAUCUUUAUAGUCACCCAGUUACGUUGCGACGUUUGAUACACACAAAGCAUUCCUCCGGCGUCAGUGAGUUAUAUGAUCUCAUGGUCAUAGGAAUAAAUACUUGACACGCAGAAAACAGUAGCAACAAAAUGACACGAUCAACAUGCUACGUCUAUUAGUUUGGGUCUAGUCCAUCACGUGAUUCUCCCAAUGACGUGAUCCAGUUAUCAAGCAACAACACCUUGUUCAUAAUCAGAAGACACUGACUAUCAUCGAUCAACUGGCUAGCCAACUAGAGGCAUGCUAGGGACGGUGUUUUGUCUAUGUAUCCACACAUGUAAAUGAGUCUUCAUUCAAUACAAUUAUAGCAUGGAUUAUAAACUAUUAUCUUGAUACAGGAAUUAUAAUAAUAACUAUACAUUUAUUAUUGCCUCUAGGGCAUAAUUCCAACACGAUGGUGUUGAGUUAGGUAACCACUUGAGGAAUAAGUGGUGUACCGAGACAAGUUGUGUGUAUAUGUUUAAAAAACGGAGAGAUUUAAGAUUUGUUGCUCGUCCCAACUAUUUAUGUGCGACCAUGAUACCCCUUUACGGGACGGGCUUUGUUGACUACUUUCGUCCAUGCUAGCAUAGAGCCCACAUUACUAGUGGCGUGAGGGCUAGAGUUACCCUCUCAAUACGGGGUCGUGCCAGGUAGGGCGACAUGGGUUGUUUUCAUAGACAACGGGCACAUCAUUGCGUCCUAUCAGGGAUGGUACGAUAUAGAGCGAGUCUCGUAUGAUGUACGUCAUAAGGACAUGGGCCAACGAGUGGACCGUUUGUUUAGUGUCGCCAGGGGAAAGAAUUUGCUUGGGUGCUUACCUCGGGUAUGUAAUAUACCAUGAGUCAUGGUUGACACGGAAGUUACCCUAGUCUUGUGGGUAAAGCGUGCAAACCCGUGAAGAGUGUAAGAACUAUUCGAAUAGCCAUGUCCACGGUCUUGGACAGUUGGAGCUCCAUCUUAAUCUAAGUCGGAUUUUUUCACAAACUUGGUGUGUGUGUGUGAAAGAUGACACUUGAGCUAAGUCACAUGACUCGACAUGAUGAAUGAACAUGAGAUUUUCAACCCCCUGCUUAUGAUGAUAUCAAUAUGUUGUUCGUAUAGAUAUCUGCAACCUCAUGAUGCAUGCUUUUACAAGUUGAUUGAUCAUGACAUUGCACUCAAAACUAGCUUUCUACAACUUACUUACUUACUCCUAUAUCAUGCAUUGUUAUUACCUUGUUAUAAACAGGGGUUGCUUUGAGUACAUUCAAAGUAGUCAUUGGCUUGCCACUGGUUAUUUUAUUGUCCAGGCAUGAGAGAACCGAGUAUGAUGAAGAUUAACUUGGUGACUUACGUGUAGGCUAGGACGCUUUCCAGACAGAAUGUCUAUAGGGUUAAGGAAGAUGGCAUGGCAUCACGCUAUCGAUGAAGAUUUCUGCUCCAAAUACAUGAAGACUUGGCUAUGAAGGCCAUAACUGAGUAAAAUGGUACGCAAUGGAUGUAAGACUCUUGUUAUUCAGCUUCGAUUUGUUUAGUGAGCAUUGAUCUCUGGGAUAACUAUGCACAUACAUUUAGUGAACACGACUUAUGGGUCUGGGUCCCCACAAAUUGUGUAUCGGAGCCAUCCUCAUUGUGGGAUGCCUUAGUUAGCAUGGACAUUAGAUAGGACAAAACAAUUUUUUCAGACCCUUUAAAAUCAGUUACAAAACCUAUAUAUUUCUAAAUUCUUCUAAAUAUUCAAAGGAAGCGAUGGGUUUUGCCUUAGCACUUCCACCCUUACACUCUUGACUCCCCUCAUCUACCUUUUCAAAGCAUGCAAACGGUCGCUAGCACCCUUAUGCCCUGACCAUUGGAUUCCUUGAAAUCCUUGUGGGUAAAUUUAAAAGGAGCGAUCUUGCCAAAUGAUCACCCACAUAUUUGGAAGACAAGAUUGGCAACGCUACGACAAGACGACACCAACAAAAUCUACUAUCUCGAGGUAUGAGGACAUCAAGACUCAGAAGAUGGUGGCACCCUCUACACUGUCUCGGAGGGAUGCAACCCUAGACUACGAUGAUUAGGACAUAAGAUAUGCUAGAUCAUGAUAUGCGUCGCUAAUAGAGCGACCAUGUCCUUACCAUUGUUGUGUCGACAACCACCGGUGUAUGAGAACCUCAACAUUUGGUCCCCCUAACCAUAGUGAGCAGGAAAACGGUUCUCUUCAUCCCCCUCUCUUGGUGUCGAUAUUGUCAUCAACAUGACCGAUAGGUCGAAGCUCUAUCAUGCCUUGUCAAUGUCAUUUCAUAAAGGACCAUCUACUUGGAACUCUUGACGCCUUGAAAUACAAGAAGACAUUGACAAGAUUACAAGGACAACAGAAGACCCUAUCAAUGACAGCCAUGAGGAACCACCUUUGCCGUUAGCUUACCAGAUAGAAGUCGUUAAAAGUUCUUUAGGAUCAACCUCGAUCAUUCCAACAAACAAUUCCAAAAUACAUGGAGACACCUGAAGAAGACCUAGAAGACUAAGGGGACUCCUCUUCAAGACACAAAGCAAGCACGACUAUUGAGUCCAAGAACCCCUAGGAUAGGAUGAGUCGUGUAUCCCCUAUGCGAAGUCGAGUCCGUGUGAUGGUUUGAAUGGAACCAUGUUGUGUUUUGCUUGUUUGUGCUUUUAUAUAAGAUGCACUUUUGCCCUAGGCAACAAUUACAUGACUAUAUCACCUACCUCAUAUUGAUGUUUGUGUUUGUCCUUUUCGACAUUUUUUUUAUUGCACUUGCACUAUCACUACAGGAUUCAGCUUCUUUGCCGUCAGCCAAAGCAGACGGCAAAGGGGUGUUCCUCGAUCGGCAAAGGCCUUUGCCGUCAGCCUCCUGUCGGCAAAACUUCUAUGACUACUGUCGUUGAUAAAUGACCUUCUUUGCCAUCUGCCUCCACACAAUGGACGUCAGAGGUCUUUGCCAUCAGCCGGCAAAUGGCAAAGAAAUUAGACGACAUCCGAUAGGGCCAACUCCGUUAGGUAGCUAACGAAGCCUUUGUUGUGUGCCAUGUGGUGACCCUUUGUCAUCUGCUGGCUGAUGGAAAAGGGCGACGACCAUUUGUCGUCUACCAUGGGCCGACUCUUUCCGUCUGCCAUGGGGCAACCCUUUGCCGUUUGCUGGCUGAUGGUAAAGGGCUUUGUCAUGUGCUGGCAGAUGGCAAAGAGCCUGUAUUGCUCCUUUUUUAUUUGUUUUCUUUUAUUUCCCUGCAUUUUCAUAACACACACACACACACACACACACAUAUAUAUAUAUAGUUUCAGACAUCUUCAAAACAUAUAUUUCACAUCAUAUACAUUUCCAACAUCAUCAUGAAAUGUUUAACAAGCUAGAGAACACAUAGUCUAGCACAAUACAUAGUUUCACAUAGUUAUCCAUAUAUACAUACUUAAAUUUUACAUUGUUUGUCAAUACAAAUGAAAAAACCAAACAUUAAGUGUCCAUCAAUGCCAGUUUCCAUGAAAUGAAUCAAAUCUGCAAAAAUGGGAGUAAUUAAGAAAGUUAGAAGAAGAAGAAGACUAACAUAUACUCCCUCCGUCCCAAAUUCUUGUCUUAGGUUUGUUUAGAAAUGGAUGUAUCAAAAUACUAAAACGUGACUAGAUACAUUCAUAUCUAGACAAACCUAAGACAAGAAUUUUGGGUUGGAGGGAGUAUGAUGCAUCUAAACAUAUUUAAUUAUAUUCCAAGGGUAAUAAAUAAGUGUACAUAAAGAUGAAAGUUAACCUGUUAUCAAUCAUAUUAUCAUGGAGUACAUACAUGGAUAACAAUUAUGGUCAUGACAACAAGCAUAUUAUUUAAAAUGAUAGAGUAAACCUUACUUGGUGUUCCUUAAAUAAUCUUCAUAAAGAUUAUGCUAAAACUCGAAACGAAUAUUUUUAAUAUUAAUCACAUGAUGUCUAUAUAUUAUUUACUUAAAACAGAAGUCAAAUAAGCUAUCAUGUUUGUCUAGAUAGAUUGAAUUACCAUGAUCAUUAAUAUUAGAAAAUAACAGUUUAGACAUAUCGCACCAAACAACAGACUAUGUAUGUUGAUUGAACAUAGACGUGUACAUAUACAUACGAAAGAGAGUGCAACAAACAUAUUAAUAAACAAUUAUGUCUAAUAUACUAAACUAUGCGUACAAUAUGAUGGUUCAAAUUGCAAACUAUAGCAAACAUAUAUUAAAAACCAAAGAUGAAUAAUAUGCAAGUUCUACUAUUUAAAUUUCAUUUCCCAGGUGUUAUGGAACUUUGUUUAUGCCAUGAUGUGUAUGUGCAUGUUAAACGAGUUUUAGCCAGGGAGAUUGGAUUAUGGAACUUUGUUUAUGCCAUUGCCCCUUGAAAAUAUGGAGGUAAGUACGUAGAAAACAGAUACAUUAGUAAGAAAAUACGGAUUUGUAAGUAUGUACUAUUUUAAGACGCUGCAUGAUGGAAGUAUGGAGAAACAUAUUUAUUUAUUAAAAAUGUAGGAAUAUAUAAAAGUUUAUUAGUGAAUAAAAAUUAAGUAUUGAAAAAAUAAUACCGCGUGCAUCUCACGCAUAGCAUGGCAGAACUUUAUAUCUAACUGAAUCACAUUUCAGACCGUGAAUAAUAUGUUGCUAGUCGCUUUUGGAUAAUGUUUGGCAGAGACCUAACAUUAUGAUAUGGAUAGAUCCAUAUUUUUUUCACACUCGCAUUGUUAUUCCUAUAUGUAAGAAGGAUAAAAUUGUACGUAUUAAAUUUGAAAAGCAAAUUUCUCACAUAUGACAGAAGACACAAGUUCAAGAUAUGGUCAAGCCAUGGCACAUGUUUUUUUUUAUUUUGAGAAAUGAAAGCAUUUUCUGCUAUCACCUACAUCAUGUACUCAUAUAUUAUUAUUAUAUAAGAAUUUUUAGCAAUACAUCAUUGAGUAAAUGGUCCAAAUAAAGGAACAACAAUAUACAAUAUCUUCUUCAGAAUUACCUUUCUCCGAAGAUGGAGCAACAUCUUCAACAUUGCUUCCAGAGGUCUUUGAGUCCCCGGCAUCAUCUUCCCUGGUUGUGCCCGUCACCAAUUCUUCAUUUAGUGCACUCUAGUGGACAGAAUCCAAAGAAUCAUUCACCUCUUGCGCUUUGUAUGCACGCCCAUAUUUGUCAAACAUGCUAGCACAAGAGGAGCAACUUCCCCGUAGCUUGGAGCCCUAAGUGAAAACAAAGGUGUAAAUUUUCAGUCUAUAAUUGUGACGCAAAGGCAUGAAAGUUACUGCAAUCUGAGGUAGAACAGCACAGCUACUAUUAUUCCAUCAACCAUUUUGAUGACAUGAGAUCUGACAAUGUUCUGUUUUCUGCUGUUUAUAAUAACAGAGUGGACAACACCGGGGGUAUAUAACUCUUCUUGAAUAAGACAACAGGCUAUCCUUCCAAUGAAUUCGCUUUAGUUUAAUGUUCAUCGCAAUACACAUAGCAUGACAAAAGAUGAAAGGUCCUAACUCUUUGCCAAAGGAAAUAAGUACUAAGGUUAAUUUGACUUGCUGGACCCCUCAAACACAGCUAGGCUGGACCCCUCAAUCACAAGAUAAACCGCUUGGCAGCCACAUGGUCCUAGUACAUCUAAAACUACUUUUAACUCAUCUUUCGAACAAAAUGACUCAAAGCCCAAAGAAUUGAAGGGCACAUUGUGCUAAUCAUAAAGAGAAUUACUGAACUAAGGGAAAGUUUUAUUCCACAAUCACAUCCAUACAAAUGUUUUAGCAUAGCAAGGAAUAAGGGAAGCAUUUGGGAAUGGAGCUUUCACCCAUUGUUGUUCCCAUUCCUGUCCCCCUAAGACGACGUCUACUGCUCCGCCCUGCCGACCAACACCGAUGAAAACAACAGCGGCAAGUACAACACGGACAAUGAUGAGGAUGAGGAGGAGGAGUUGCUUGCCUCCCACUAGAAGCUUGGGUUUCCACCAGACCCGGUCCCAGAGCCCAUGUUAUUCUCACGCUUUCUUGUUGCUGCUAUAGGUGCACCACCGCCGUAUCUUCCCUGGAAGCUUAGGAACUGCUGCUCAAACAGAGAAAAUCAAGGAGAUUAUAAGACAUUUCCUAUCUCGAAACACAUGUUAUUUACCGAAGAAACAAGAAGAGUAAUGUCUAAUCAGAAAAUGUUGCACAUUCAUUCAUUCUUAUUGUUAUUCUUGAGCGCAUAGUGUACUCAACAUUCACCAUAUUUCAUACCUGGGCGUAAAUUUACAUACUAACCAGAAAUUUUAAUUGGUCAACAUUGUUUACUAAUUAGGUUAUUCAUCCCCAAAUGACCAGUGGUUCUUGCUGCCUUGUGGCACCUGAACAAAUUUCUCUACAUAGGCUUAAAAUGAAGAUUACUUGCUGGAAAUAGUCUAAAGCAUGGGUGGCACUUGCUACAGACCAGACCAUGCGAGCAGAAAUUCUCAAGAACACAAGACUAGAGACUUGUAAGUUUCUACUUGCACAAGUUUUAGAAUGGAAUCAAAGUACCCCAAGGACACAAGCACCAACCAUAUUGGGAAACAAUGGAUACAACAUAACAAAUUUCUAGAAACUGUUGGCUACGCUAGAGCAGAGCAGAGACGCGGUAAAGAAACAAGGGGAAGAAGGAAGUUGGCCUUGUGCUCGGGGUCUAGAUGAUGUCACCAUCGAGGUCAAGGUCGUUGAGCUCGUCAUGUCCCACACAUCUUCAUCCUCCUCAUCGAUGCCAUCCAUGGAACCAGAGGGUGCCUGAUGUUGUUGCUUCUGCGAAUCGAACAAGCAAAGAAAUUAAUUAGGCAUCUCAUCCGAUCUGCUCAAAGCCACCUCAUACACAUCACCAGUUGCAUCCAAAUCAAAGAAACAAAUAAAUUCAUUUGUACAGAGAAGUUUUCAAAUUCCUUCAGUGGCAAUUUUGGGUGAUAAUUGAUAUCACGUGCUAGAUCAGUUAAAAACUGAAAUAAGGUUCACACCUUGCAGAUUCAUCAUAUCAAGAAGGUUCAGACCUCAUAGGGUCAUCAUAUCAAAGACAUUCAGACUUAGAAAUUCAUCAUCAUAUCAGAGAGGUUCAAGCUUCAAAGCAAAAUUCAUCAUAUCAAAGACGGUAGGUGCACUUCAUACCAAAUAAUGAACUGAAGCAGUGUUCUAGUAAACAGAUCCAAAGGAACUCACGGUCGAGGUCGAGGUCAUCCGGCUUGGGUGUGGGGUCAUCCUUCUCGUCCAUAGAUGGUGGUUGCUGCUUCUGAUAGAAUCAAACAAACAAAUAAGUUUAGGUAAUGAUAACAUGCACAAACUGAAACACCAUUCAUCCAUUCAUUUAGUAGCAAAACAACAUCUAGUAUUAAAAGACACAUAAACACAAAUAUGGGAAUACCUUCAAAUUGUAGUGAGUAAACAAGCUAAAAUCCUCAUAAAAAAUCUUCAUUGAGUUGUUAAACUGAAUUUCGAGCAUGGAAAACGGCACUUGCUGCAUCCACAUUGAACAAAAUAAAUAAAUAAGUAAGGAUUACAAAUACAGCAAGCAACCAUUCGGUCUUAUAGAGGAGUUGUCAAAUCCAUUCUUCGGGCGGGUUCAUUCAGCGGACAAACAUCUGCAGUACAACACACUAGGUUGAAAUCAAUACGACGGACAAUUCAUUCUCCAUGAAGGUCAAGCUCAUAGCUAAAGAGAAAGAAGAACAGGGAGUUCAGAGAGAGAGGACGACUCACCAUGGCUGCACGAACCAGCAGAUGUUGCCUCCAGCUGGAGUGAUGGCCAUCCGGCGGAGCUUCAGGAGGGAGGGUGAGACGUUGUGUGCAUAUGGUACAGAGGGGAAUGGUGUGGCGGCGGCUUCUCGAGUGAGUGGGAGGCGCUUCAUCUGUUGGAGGGAGGGGGAGGCGCUGCAGUUGUAGGAGGGAGUCGGGCUGCUACGGGAGUCGGGACCGGCGACGGCGAAGACCGGGUCGUCGACGGAUCUAAAUCUGAGGCCGGAAGAGCGAGGGGAGCAAGCAGGGGCGGGUCGAGUGGCGGCAGGGCAUGAUGGGCGGAAGCUCACUUACCAGGCUCGACCGAGAACAUGGUCCCCGGAAUGAACCUAGCGCGGGUGUCAGGGCGGCGAGUGGGCCGACGGAGGUGGGGCGGCGAGGAGGCCGGCGGUUGCAGACCGAUGGUGAGGCGAGGGUGCGGGAGCGAGGCUGUGGUGUUGUGGGACGGAGGGAGGGGGAGCCGCGGGCUGGGAGGGAGCGGCAUGUGGUGGUGGUGCGGGCAGCGCGGGGGGGGAAGAUUGGGGAGAGAGAGAGGUGGGGAGUGGGGGAGAGAGGUGAGGAGUGGGGGAGAGAGAGAUAUCGUCGGUGGGGAGCUCCGUUAUGUGUCCAUCGCCUAGUAGGGCCUGCCUAGGCUCUUCGUCGUCUGUCUUUUCAAUCCUUCGUCCGUCAACACACGGCAAAAGAGCACACUGAUGGCAAAUGGUAUCUUUGCCAUCAGUCACCUCUUCGCCUUUUUUUUUGCCAGCUCACGACAAAGAGCUUCUUUGCCAUCAGCCAGCAGACGGCACAGAUUAGAUAGAUGGCAAAUUCUGUGAUUCAUGUAGUGUAUAAGACAACCUUAGGCACACCCCUUUAUGCUACUCUGCUUCUCCCCCAUCUCGUCAACUAAAGACCAGCAAGACCUAAUGCACCAAGGAUCCACCGCGAUAGACAACUAACGUCAAAGACCUUGACUACAACCUACUCAACCAAGUGCAACCCCGUAGAGCUAUGCUUUCCCUCAAAAACUGGAAACCCUUCCCCAUAAUUAACCUAGGUCUCACCAGUUACCCUAACUCAAACCUCUAACCAUGAGUUUAAUACACAGACUUGCCAGAACACUUGUUGAGCUUGAAUAACCCCUUCUUAGCACUUGGUUCAUUAUGGCACAAGCGAUCAUAGUGAACAAACAUACUUCAUUCUUAUGCUAGCACCAGAACCUGGAUGCCAUAGGGGAAUUGGUUAUGGAUAUGUGACUAUGAGACAAAUGAUAUGAUAUGACUAUAAUAGGUGUCUUUAGGAUAGUGUUAAGACUCUUUGGUGGAUUACGACAUUAUAAUAGUGAUGGGCGAACUUGGUGGAUCAACAGUCGGUAGAAUAGCAGAGAUUACCUCUCCAUUGAGAAAAUUGGAUUUAGUAGGAUAACUCGGGACCACACGUUGAAAACUCUAGGUGGCAUAGUAAGUUGAUUUGUCAGUUAUAUUGGUGGAGUGAUGAGGUUAUAAUAACGACUUGGAGGAGCAAGUACGAAUUCUCGACGGACACGGGAUUGGAAGUAAAUUAUGUGAUCCUGAUAGUGUUGGUGUUGAAGUAAGACUACAUGGUUCAGAGUAAUUUGGAUUUAGUCCAAUGAUCUUGAUCGUGAUACCAUGUUUCUUGGUGGUUGUUGAUAUAGGAAAACUAUAAGUUGUCAAAAUUGAUUUAAAUAUCUAUAUAAGCUUGACCUUGGGGUUUAAUAGAUCAUCAUAAUGGUAAGUUGUGGAUCUACGGUAAUAAUAAUCCUUGCCAUGAUAUGAGGGUUAUAGAAACUCAAGGUGGUCGUGUAGAACUCCAUCGACAUUGGAUUUGUAGGGAUAGUGGAUCAUGAGAUGAUCGAUGGCAUUUAGGGAUCACUUGAUUGGAUUCGUAGGAAUGAAAUAAGAUCUUGGAUUUGUAGUAUGUUAUUCAAGCUUACCAGCUUGUAUGAUCCCGAAGAUUUUUACAUAGAGAUACAUGUGAGUGGGUUAUAAUAUACAUAAUAGAUGUUGGUUUAGUCCUUCUCUCAAACCUUGGAGGUGAAUAACAUAAGUGAUGUUGGAGAUAUCUUAUAUAUGGUACUUUUGAUGAUAUUGGAUGAUUCUCUUUGCAGAAUUAGGUAGGAAUCCUCGCAUUUAAGAUCUAUUCUCAAGGAAAGGACAAACAUUUACUCACAUCCUAAGCUCCAUGAAACCCCGAAGUUUUACCAAGCCAACAUAUGGUCCGAUUAUUACCAUAGGUCUUGGAUCUAAGUCAUUAUAGUAUAGCCAAUACUCCACCUCGACCACCACCAAUCAUGUCCAUGAGGAAGGUGGGCAUAGAGAACGAGAUUAUGAUGGACCAUAAACCCCUAAACAAGUGACCAUCCGGAGCAAAUGUCCGCUUCUCUAACUUAUCCCAUGACCAAUGUGCUUAUGUGAUGUUUGGAGAAAAAUGUUGUUGUACUCAUGGAUGACAUACUUUUUUACCCAAUAAGAGCAGAAACACCUUAGUCCUAUUUGGAAAAGCCCCAGAAGCAUCGAUUGACAUUCUUCUCAUGUGUAUGAUUUUACCUUGAAGAAGUGGACUCCUCAAAGCACCCUCCAAGUAGGAGAAGACAUUCUUAUCCAAGGAAGAUGAAGGACCACUACGGUUGGGAAACCACGACAAUGAAGAAGAACGAGAAGGA
rnacentral:lncRNA from 1 species